rnacentral:lncRNA from 1 species
AUGCCUCCUGGAACUGUCUUCCAAUUAACGAGACUUGGGAAGCCAAUCACUCAUGAUGAAGACAGAGGUACCAUGAAGCAAUGGGAGACUAACAGAGAACUAGUAAAGGGUCUCAGGAAGUUCUGCAUGGGAGACUCUGGUCGGUGCCUCAAGGAAUUCUUAAAGCACUGGAAGGAAAUGCCAAGACCAACAUCAAGGGCUCCAAAUAUCACUCAGCUUCUACCUGUCACCCAGCUUCCAUCUACCAAGCAGUUUCCCAAGAACAGUAAAUCUACCACCAGGGCAGUAGCCAUCCCAUCAUCAUCAUCAUCAUCCCCAUCAUCAUCAUCAUCAUCAUCAUCAUCAUCAUCAUCAUCUUUAUUAUUGGCAUUUGCACAUAUCAUCCCCAAGGAGGGGUCAUGGUACAGCAGGAUACAAGCUACCAGUGACUUGCAGACUUCUCUGUUGGGGUGAAGAGCUAACUACAUUCAGACUCACAGCUGAAGCUUUGGAUCUCACUGCAAAACCUUUCCAGACAGAAAUCUUCAGCUGCCCAUGAACUGUCCCAUCAACUGCCACAAGCCACAGAAGAAAGAGAAGCCCAUGGAGACAAAUGGAGAGGACUCCAAUCAAGCUACCAAUAUGUUGUCCCAGGUUGAUGAGUCCAUGGCAUGGGAGUAAAAACCAUUUAGUAAACCAGUCAUCUACAUUACCUCACCCAACAGUCAGGGGUCUCUCAAAGAGAGGGAGAGAAGGAUUAAGAGAACGCUGUUUUGCAGCAAUGACAUGGCUGUCUUAUUGUUGACCUCUCAGCAGCUCUGAGUACUUGCAUGAUUCCAGCACAAGAGCAGGCCUGUCACCCUUCCCUUCAUGGAGGAAGAGGGGAUCAUGAGGCUCCAGAACUCCCUGGAAUCUCUCUGCAGUUAAUGGUGCUGAAGGGAGAGACAUUGUGUUCAGUUGUGUGUUCACUAGUAAAGAGCCCAGGUUCUUAUAAAUAGCCUCUAAACCUCGCUUCAUUAAUAGCCACAAAUGGAAUCAUUGGCUACACAAUUGAAAAAAAAUCACAUGAAAGUAGAGGAGGAGUAAUUGGAAAGAGGAAGCAACCUGGAGGGAGUAGGAAGGAGACAUGAGAGGUAACAGAAGAGUUGAUAUGACUAAAAUGUCUUACACACACAUACAAAACAUCAUAGUGAACCCUAUUAUUAUGUGUGAUUAAUGUGCU